AAAAGCAGUCCAAAGUUAUAGAAUAAAAAACAACAUUUUCUUUGGGCAUAAUUAUUGAGGCUAGCUGUUCCGCACUUGUUGAUGCUACCACCGUUUUAAGCAAGACAUUACCACCGCUAUCUCUUAUCACUUUCAUUACUCCACAAACCCAUCUACAAUUCCUGAAAGAAAGAAAAAACUAUGGCGGAAGGAGCUUUGUUCGAUCUUGCAGGGAACGUCCUUCAACUGCUGGGCUCUAUCAUUGCUGAAGAGGUCAAACUGGCCUCUAGUGUUGAAACUGAGAUUGAAAAUCUAACCGACACAGUCACCACAAUCCGCGCUGUGCUUCUGGAUGCAGAAAUGCAGAGUUCUCAUAACCAUCAGAUCAAAGACUGGCUCAGUAAGCUCAAAGAUGUCCUCCAUGAUGCUGAUGAUUUGCUGGAUGAUUUCUCCACCCAAGUUAUGCGCCGCAAAGUGAUGACAAAGAAGGUACGCCUUUUCUCUUCAAGUUCAAUGCCGCUUGCUUUUAGUCCUAAGAUGGGUCAUAAAAUAAAGGCAAUUAGGAAGAAACUAAAGGCCAUUGCAAAAGAUAAGGAGGCUUUUCACUUUAGUCAAAGCUUCGUUGAGCCACAAGUCAUGAAUAGGGGGGACAGAGAAACUUAUUCUUUUGUACUUGAAGAUGAAGUUAUUGGGAGAGAGGAUGAUAAGAAAGAGAUCAUGGAACGUCUUUUUGAUGACAAUGUUGUAGAGAAUAUUUCUAUCAUUCCAAUUGUUGGUUUCGGAGGAUUGGGCAAGACGACACUGGCUCAAUUGGUAUACAAUGAUAAAAAUGUCCAAACAAAAUUUGAGAAAAAACUUUGGGUUUGUAUCUCUGAUGUCUUUGAUGUGCAACGGAUUGUUAAAAUUUUUUUAGAACAGUUGACAGAUGAGAGACUUAAAGACAGCUUUGAGAUGCGGCAAACUCAGCUUCGAGAAAAGCUUAAUGGAAAAAAAUACUUGAUUGUCUUGGAUGAUUUGUGGAAUGAGGAGAGUAAUAAAUGGCUUCUCUUGAGAAAUUUGCUAGUGGGUGGUGCAAGGGGAAGUAGGAUAAUAGUGACCGCACGCUCAGAAAAUGUAGCGAGGAUAUUAGGGGCAACUUCAUGGCAUGCUCUAAGAGGCCUACCUGAAGAAAAGGCUUGGAGUUUGUUUGUGAAAGUAGCAUUUGAAAAUGGUCAACUGCCAAAGAAUGAAGCCUUUGUAAGUUUGGGUAUGGAGAUUAUGGGGAAGUGUGGAGGGGUACCUCUAGCCAUAAGGACGAUAGCAAGCUUGCUAUACACCAAAGCCACAGAAAAUGAGUGGCGAUAUUUCAAAGAUUAUGAACUCUCAAAAAUAACUCAAGAUGAAGAAAAUGUUAUUUUAUCGACGCUUAAGUUGAGUUAUAAUCAUCUACCAUCGUACUUAAAACAAUGCUUUGCUUAUUGUAGAUUGUUUCCAAAAGAUUAUGAGAUUGAUGUAACAACAUUGAUUAAUCUUUGGGCAGCACAAGGUUUUAUUAAGUUAUCAGAUUCAAAGCAACGUGUUGAGGAUGUAGGGCGAGAGUACUUUAUAGUAUUACUUCGGAGAUGUUUUUUUCAAGAUGUACAAAAAAAUGAUUGCGACAUUAUAUCAUUUUGCAAAAUGCAUGAUCUCAUGCAUGAUCUUGCAGCUCUUGUGGCUGGGAGGGAGAGUACCAUGCUAACCUCGAGUGGGGAGUAUAAUGGUAAAAAUGUUCGUCAUGUAUCAUUUGAUCUUGAAAAUUCAUCAAGGGAACUUUCAAUUUUUCAGGUUAAAGGAAUGAAGAUACGAACAAUUCUUAUAGCUAGUGUAGGGGGGAAAUUGAGGAACUUAAAUUGCAAUGCACUUGUUUCAAAUCUCAAUUAUUUACGGACAUUAGAUUUAAGUGAAUUACAUUUACGUGUAGUGCCACAUUCAAUUGGGAAAUUAAAACAUUUAAGAUAUCUUGAUCUUUAUAAAAGUAGGGGUAUUAAAUUUCUCCCUAAUUCCAUUACCAAGCUGCUAAAUUUGUUGACACUAAAUCUUAAGAGUUGUUACUCACUUAAAGAAUUACCCAGGGGCAUUAAGAAGUUGGUCAAUCUUAGGCAUUUAGACGUUAGUGGGUGUGACAAAUUGACGCAUAUGCCCCUUGGACUUGGGCAUCUUACUUCUCUUGAGAUACUACCGAUGUUCGUCGUGAGGCAAGGGGGUUCCAAGGCUAGCUCGUAUAGUUGGUAUAAGAAAAAACAGGCUGGUGGACUAAGUGAAUUGAAGGAGCUGAGCAAUUUGGGAGGAAGUCUAUAUAUUCAUAAUUUGGGACAUGGAAAAGAUGACAUGGUGGAAUGUAAAGCCACAAAUAUGAAGCAGAAACCACAUCUUCAAGUGCUGAACGUAGUGUGGAAUGAAGAGUGGGAUGAUGGAGAAACUGAAUGUUAUGAUGACAUGUCACUGGAAGGGCUCCAGCCACAUCCAAAUCUUAAACGGUUGAGAUUGUCUUAUUAUAUAGGCGUGAGAAUUCCAAGUUGGGUCUCUUCUCUCACUAAUCUUGUUCAUCUUCAUUCAUAUAAAAAUAGGAGAUUGCAGCACCUCCCACCGUUAAAUCAACUCCCUUUUCUCAAGUUUGUCUUUCUUGAGAGAAUGGAAGCACUUGAAUACAUUUCAGAUGAAGACAGUGUUAGUAACGUGUUGGGUGCUUCCUCCUCCUCUUCUUCUUCUUCAAAAACACCAUUCUUCCCAUCCUUAUCUUAUCUUGAAUUAACGGAUUGCCCAAAACUGAAGGGAUGGUGGAGGAAUUCAGAUGAUAAUGAGCCACACCAUCUCUUACUUCUAUCAUUUCCUCCUUCUCUUUCUACAUUACGGAUUUGGCAUUGCCCUAACCUGACUUCCAUGCCCCUGAUUCCCGAUCUCACUUUGUUAAAUAUUGUUGGUUGUCCCCUCUUACGGCUACACGAAGGAAACAGUGAAGAUUGUCCCAAAUAAUCCAACAAGAAAAAACAAUUUAUUCAGAAUCUGAUUUAGAAUUAGAGUUGGUUUGUUCACUUCCAGAGGGGGAAUUAGCUUGUUUUUCAGGUUGUUAAUUACAGAGCUACACUCAAGUUUAAGAACUUUUGGAUUGCUUGUUAUUUUGUCACUUUCUCUGCCUCCUGAAGCCAUAGUCCUUGCUGCAUUUGGUUGUGAAGUCCCUGUAAACUUGAGGCUGCAGAACAUCUUUUUUUUUUUUUUAAUCAGUGGGGUCCAAACAAACAUGAGUAGGAGAGAAUCUUUUCAUCAAUAUUUUUUUGGUUGUAUUUAGCAUAUAAAUGAAUCACAUCACCAAAAAAAAAAAAAAAAAAAAAAAAAAAAAAAAAAGGAGGAGAAGAGAGAAUUACUUGGGGAGAUGACAUUUUUGGGGUGGAAUUUCUGUUGGAGAAAACCGGCUUGUAAAGAAUGUCUGCAUUGGCAUUGAGUUUUUGUUUCUUGAACAAAUCCUCUGGCAACUCCGUCACAAUCUUAGGCUCAAAAUCACUUUCUUCCUCAACCUGCUGCUCUUCCACUGCCACAGGAUCAAGGAAUUGACUCCAAUCGCUUUGUCUCUUGUUAUUAUGAACGUGAUCGUCGUGGACAAUAUCUUCUUCUUCUUCUUCUUCUUCUUGGAAUUGUGGAAGUGGAAGUGGGGGUGGUUCAGUAAUGGCGCAGGACAUGUUGAAGGACUGGAUGAAGCCGCGGAGGUCCUUGGCGACGAAUCCCUGCGCGAACACUUUGCAGACAGACUGCAUUUGGUUGCACACCACGCACCUCCACUUGCUGAUUUUCUUCUUCUUCUUCUGUUGCUGCUGCUUCACCUGAGACAAAAUCUCAACUUCCAUCAAAUCACAAUCAAAUGAGAUAGAGUCUAGCUGGUUUAUUUAGUCUAGUGUGUCUGGACAUGCACAAAUCUAAUGGUAAAUUAUCUAACAGAUUUCAGAAUACCCCUGUUUUUUUUACUUCCUUAUGUAUUGUUCUAUGGUGGGUUAUUAAUGCUCAAAGCAGCAUCCAAACUUAGGAACUUUUCAUUUUCUUUGAGUUUGGUGUUUUGUCUACUUGUCUACCUCCUAAAGCCCCCUUGGUUCUUUUAAUUUUUGUUGUGCAGACUCUGUUUGAAUAUUGGGCAACAUUGCGCAUGUUCUUUUCAUUAAUCAAUGCAAAGAAGAGGAGACCAACAUGCAGGGCCCCCACACUAGUAGGGGGGAUAGUGGACGUGGAACUUUUAAGCCAUUGAGAGGUAGAACGAGUAAGGAUGGUUGAGACAUGAUUGGUAAGAGAAGCAGUUUGAUUAAAUAUCCCAAAGAUGGAGUAAUUCACUGCAAAGCAAUGCAGAGAGGGGUGUGGCAUUGAAACCAAAAGGAUUUUCAAAGAUGGUUCUACAAAAAUCAAGCAUCAACUUUCAAUAGAUUGAGUGAAUUCUUAAUUUUGUUGUUUUCUCUUUUUGUGCUGUCUGGAGCUCAUUGUUGUGUACAAGUAGGUGACUAAUCCCAUUUAAUCUUACAUUUAAAAGAAUGAGUGUGGAACACAAUCUGCAAAAGUCUUAAAAGUUAUAUAUUUGUUUUUCGGUUGUCAAUUUCAAGUGCAGGGCAAAUUCAUGCUUGCUUUGUUGAUGGCUUUUGAGACUUCCACAACAAAGGACCUCUUUGAUGCUAGGGUGGAUGGAGGUCACUGUGUCGUAUUUGAAGUAAGUGUGAAGUGUGAAGAUGAUCCAUGUAUGUGUAUUCUAGAGAAAAGGGAAAGGGAGCAUUUUUCAUAAGGGACUAGAAUUAGGGUGAUAAAGCCGCUUGGUGAAGUUGUUUGUCAUGGAAGAUAUGGCAACUAGAGAUUUGUCGAACCAUAUGCUCUUUACAAGCAAGUUUUCAGAAGCAUAUUUGCCUUAAUUUCUUAAGGUGAGCCAUUGUUUUGGGUUUAAUAGAGAGGCAAAUAGAGCUAUUGUUUCCUCUACAGAUGACAGUUCCUCUAAGAAUGCAACCUGUCUCAUAACCUCUAAUUUGUGAAACUUGAGCCUACAUGUUUGUUUGUGGAUGUCAGCCAUUAUUCGGCCGUGUAGUUCCCCAUUGAAGGGUUUUCAAAUGGUGACUAUACAGCACUAAGCAAACAAAGUCUUGAAUCUAGCUAUCACAAUGAAUAUGUUUAAAGAUCACAUAAUGAUGCGGAAUGGUCAUAUUAGUCCCUUUGGAGAAGUAUUAGUCACCUUCAACUGUUUUGUUAGAGAAAUGAGGACAAUUGAGUAGAUCUAGUUAGUCCAACCGGAAUGCUGAAAUUGCAAUUCUCAACUUGUUGAUUAAUAUUGCCAAGUAGACGGUCAAGUAUAUGUAUUUCACUUCAAAAUUUUUAAUUUGGGUGGCCAAUUUUGUGUGAGGUUUUGGUGGAUCAACUUAUUGGGUUCCUCUUGCAAUUAUAACUUGGGAGCUCUUUGUACUUGUAUGUAUACCAAUUAAUGUUUGGAGGUUUUAUUUAUUUAUUUUUCUUA